rnacentral:rRNA from 1 species
CCUACGGGAGGCAGCAGUGAGGAAUAUUGGUCAAUGGACGGAAGUCUGAACCAGCCAUGCCGCGUGCAGGAAGACGGCUCUAUGAGUUGUAAACUGCUUUUGUACAAGGGUAAACCUGAAUACGUGUAUUCAGCUGAAAGUACGGUACGAAUAAGGAUCGGCUAACUCCGUGCCAGCAGCCGCGGUAAUACGGAGGAUCCAAGCGUUAUCCGGAUUUAUUGGGUUUAAAGGGUGCGUUGGCGGAUUGGUCAGUUAGGGGUGCAAUGGCCGGGCUUAACUCGGGAACUGCCUCUAAUACUGUUGAUCUGGUGAGUAGAUGCGGUAGGCGGAAUGUAUGGUGGAGCGGUGAAAUGCUUAGAGAUCAUACAGAACACCGCUUGCGCGGGCAGCUUACCAAUCUAUAUCUGACGUUGAGGCACGAAAGCGUGGGGAGCAAACAGGAUUAGAUACCCUUGUAGUC